UACGGAGGGUGCAAGCGUUAAUCGGAAUUACUGGGCGUAAAGGGUGCGUAGGUGGUUGAUUAAGUUAGGUGUAAAAUUCCUGGGCUUAACCUGGGCUUGAGACUUAAUACUGGUUGACUAAGAGUAUGGGAGAGGGUAGUGGAAUUUCCGGUGUAGCGGUGAAAUGCGUAGAGAUCGGAAGGAACACCAGUGGCGAAGGCGGCUACCUGGCCUAAUACUGACACUGAAGCACGAAAGCGUGGGGAGCAAA
rnacentral:rRNA from 1 species